CACUAUCGGCCAACUUCCCAAAGCCCAUCUGUUAUUCAUUGUCAUUGGAGCGGCUCACAUACUGGUGCACUCUCACUUUUAGCUCUGAGAGGCUGCUCCACACUGACACAUCUUAACUAAACCAGCAUUCAGAGUUAAAAAAAAAAAAGGUGCAUUUGAUUUAGCAUUUGAUUAAGCAUUCAAGGGAUUUCCCUUCUAUUACUGUGAAGCUGUAAAAGUCUGGCAUUACCUUCAUGCGGGGGUGGUAUCAGAGUUGAAUUGUUAAGAAAUGGCAUGUCACAUACAUGUCGUAACCUUUAUGUUGUAUUAAUGGCCUUAUAUGACCCAAUGAUUCUUUCACCACAUCCUGUGUAUGGAAAAAAUGAGCAGAUAUCUUACCGAUGUCUGACCUGACCAGUCCAGCUUGCCCUUCCGACAGCCACACUGCAGCCAUGGGUCUGACCGGAAACGUAUGUGUGAGUAGAAAUGUCCGACCUGGACCCUGACGGGAGCGGUCCGUCUCCUCCUCAACGAGAGAAGUCAUCACCACAUCAACAGCAGGGCGGAUGCUCUUCGUCACCAUCCUCCUCCUCGACCUCUCACUGACAUCUGACCGUAAGCAGCGGAUGCGGCCGGCGCUCGGCUGCAGGCGGCCCCCUCAAUGGUCUCUCCCACCAUGAAGGCGGUGGUGGAUGCCGUAUGGGCGGUGUGGAGCAUCGGGGCCUCCAUCUAUGACUACAUCCACACCAACGCCAUGGAGGAGCGCAUCCACGCCCUGGAGGACGUCAUCACCGUCCACCAGUGUGUGAUCGUGCUGCUGUCCGCAGGCGUACUGACCCUCUUCACUUACAUCCUCUUCAAGAAGCUCUGAAGAGGUGUGGACGGGGGCGGACAAGCGACAGGUUGUACGACCGGAACCAGACAUUGGCGUUGAACAUGUUCGAGCAAACACUGAUGAGACAGACAAAGGGGAAUUUUACACUUAAGAUACAUUCGAUGAGCUCAUAAGAGCUGGAAGGUACACAUCGUUUCCAAGGGAGGAGACCACACAUAGUGGUCCUCGUCUUUGUUCAGACAAGGAGACCAUAAAACGAUCAAAAGAUAUAGUCAAUCUCUUCUAAAAACAACAUCACAGCUGUGCCACCCUUCUCAUAAAUCUGUUAUUGGGGCAAAUACUGAGGCUCAUGUCCUCUGUGCGUUGGUUGUGGACGAGCAUGUGGGGCUACAGGGUCCAACUAUUUUUUUUAAAGGCCAGUUUAAAUAAAUAAAUUUAUACCAUCAUCAUCAUGGGACAUUGUGACACACACUUAAAUAUUCUUUCAGGUUCAGUAUCUCAUAGUAAAAAAAAUGUGAGGUAAUAUACUUUUACUACUACUUUAUCAGCAGAAAACAUCAUCUGGCUAAUUUGCAAUACUUUGAAUAGCUUAAGCAGCUCAGCAUAAAACUCAUCACAUCCCCCCUUCACACACACAGGUAUACCAGUGAGUGAACUAUUCAAUAACACUUCCAUAGAGAAAAUGGCCGCUGACAAUGUGUGUCCAUGAUCCUUGACAACAUAAUUCCAUCAUUUCCUAAAGGGAUCACAAUUGAAAAGAAUCAUGUGCCAGAACAAUUUCUGCCUUCAAGUACAUUCGGUUUUUUAUCGUUGUUUUUGCAUGUUUGAGUGUGUGCAACAGGCGACUGGAGAGGAGUAUAAUUUCAAUUAAUUCAUCUCAUAUUCCCCCAAAUAAGCCAUUUGGUUCUCAAAUGUCUUGAUAGCAUUUUCUAUGUCUCCUAGAAGAUUUCACACUGAGUGUCAGAUGAGAGCGAAACACCUCCUAUAAUCCCUUAUUCUAUCGGUCUACAUGUGUGUUAUCUUUAUUAUUAGACUUUUUAUUCAGUCCAACAUCAUGGUCCAUUUUUACAGCAUAAUGCUUUUCCAUUCAAACCCCAUAGUUUUUACAUUGCUGUUGCGGAAGUCCUGUAGAAAAUACAACAAUAUGAAGUGUCCUUAAAAACUGUAAAUAUAUUUAGAUGAUUACAAGCAGUGGGGUUUUUUUGUGCAACUAAUCUAGAGUACUAAUGCUGCUUAUUAUUUAUUUAACAUUAUGUACAAUGUAUCAAAGUGAUGUUUAAAUGAGAUGAUAAUAGGCACUGGCUGCAAACACUGGAUCAAUGUGUUUUGUGUGAAAUUAAGUUUUUGCAGGAUAAAAGAUGUUUUUGUUGUUUUGAAUUGAAUUCGCUUCUCUAACCUACUGAGAGAACUUUAAAGACAUCGUGGGUCAUAGGAAACUACUGCCAUCAGAGUCCUGAUUUUGGUGUAUAUCUGUGUAUGUUUGUUACUGUUACACAACAAGAGAACAUCCAAGGAUGAAAACUUUUAAUAUAAUUUUAACAAGUCUUCUCAAAAUGCCAAAUGAACGAGGAAUUCUUGCAAUUAAACUGCACGUGUCUGACAUCAGUCUGACACGUUGUUGUGUACAAAAAUGAAAAGUUGGUACAAUUUGUGGAUUACAGCUAUAAAAUACUCACAGCUGAA